rnacentral:rRNA from 1 species
CAGUUCGGAUUNUAGGCUGAAACUCGCCUACAUGAAGCUGGAGUUGCUAGUAAUCGCGAAUCAGCAUGUCGCGGUGAAUACGUUCCCGGGCCUUGUACACACCGCCCGUCACACCAUGAGAGUUGGCAAUACCCAACGUACGUGAUCUAACCCGCAAGGGAGGAAGCGUCCUAAGGUAGGGUCAGCGAUUGGGGUGAAGUCGUAACAAGGUAUC